GAAAUUCCCCCACUCGCCAUCUAUUUCUGCCCUGCUGAAGGCAACAUGAGGAAACCAUCUGGUUCGCGAGGCUGCCAAAAAGAAAAAAGAAAAAGAAAAAAAAGGAACGAGGCUCAGGAUAAAAUAACUGUUUGGGUUGCUUUUUUUUCUCUCUCUCUCCACAAUUCCUGCCCCCUCCUCUUGUUCCAGAACGAAUACCCUCCCCAAGGGAAAACGCUGUUUCAGCUCCCCCAGACCACUGGCAGCCAAGGGGCUGCCUAGAACAGGAGCUCGCUGAGAAACGGCCGAGGCUGCAAAGCCGCCCCUUCAGCUUGUCCGGGUUGUGCGGUUGCUCCCGGCGAUGGGGAAGAGGGGAAGGCAGCGAAUCUGCGUCGCCCUUCCUGCUCUCCGGUCUGGCUCCGAGAAACUAAGACUGAGAAGCGGGGAGUGGGAUGCAAAACAGAGGGUUGACGCUCCGGCCAAAGUGAUUUCCGGCUUCGGCUGAACGAACUCCAGAGGUUUUCCAGCCCCCGCCAUAUUUGGUGAAAGCUUAGAGGACCUCGUCAUCGGCACUCUACUAAGACGGUGGCGUAGAGGAAUGGAGCUGCGCCAGAAGAGCUCAGAAGGGCCUUGGAUUACAUACCGAAGAUACAUGUCACUUGAGAAUCUCUAAGAACAUGUUUAAUCUCUCCCCGGAGUGUUAGGAAUAUUGCUUCCUCUCCUGACGGAAAAGAGUGCUUCUAGGCAGCAUUUCCUGCCUCGAAGGGCUCUAACGAGUCCUUUCUAGAGAGUAUUUCAGGGCUCAUUUUGUGAAUACAAGCCAAGGACUGAGAACUAGAUGGAAGCUUUGCGAGAGAAACGAGAUGGAUAUUUGGCAGCACCGACUGGUUUAUUUAUUUGUUAAACUUAACACCCUCUCUUUCCUUCAGGAGCUCAGAACAAUUUGCACGGUGCUCUCUCUCCUCCAUUUUCCUCACAACAACAUUCUGGGUGCCAAGAUGGUGUAAAAGAAAAGUGACUGGGGAAAACCACCUAGCAAGGUUCCAUGGCUCUGGCUGUGCUUGAUCUGGCUUCAGGUCCCUUCUGUGAAGCUGUGCCAUUUGGUGAGGCCCACAAAAUGGGCCUUCCUUGUCAUGCAGUUGCUUGAUGGAACACCCUCUUCCUGUAGAUUCAGAUGGCCCUGAACUCAUCAGUCGUCUGGCAGGCUGUGAAGACCCAGCUUUUCGCCCCAGGUCCUUGGGCCAGGCUUUUAAUGGGACCCAGCAAGAUACAUGAAUAUCAUAAAUAAGAAAUACACUGAAUUACCAGUAGGGGAGGAAAAUGAAAGGGAAAAGAACCGAAACGGAGAAAAGCAGGAAUGUGAAAUCUCAGUAACUGGAAUUCGGCCAAAUUCAGUAUAGAAUACCAAAUUCAGGACCUUUUCCAGGAAAAUGAUACGCAUCCUCAGGAUUAACUGUUCGUAAGCAUUUUUAAAAGGAAUACGGCUACUUUUAAAAGCAACAAAAGGAGACAAACACAAAUAAGGACUUUGCUCUUUUUCCACCUGAUCUCCGUCUUGCUGAAGAGUUAAAAUUUCACACAGCUGCACAUCUCCGGGUCAGGAAGGCUGUCUGAAAACUGGAAUUUUGGAAUAAUGGCUAGAUCAGUCUGAUGAGCUGAGAAGUAAUAUAAUUUCAGGUCACAGGAGGACCUAAUAUCUGUUCUUAGAGUGAACUGGAAUAGAUUUUUCACAAGGAGCUCCCAAGACAAAAAAAAAAAAAAAGAUUUAAAACUACUGAGAGAUUACCACUAUCAAAACUGCAAUCAAUCUUAAAGCUGCCAGAGAACUAUAGCAAGGAAGUGAAUCUUUCCACAACCAUGCCUACCAAGGGAACAAUCUUUACCCUGAGUUACAGAUGAACCCUAUGUUCCCUGUCUUCCAGAAGAUUGUUGAAACUAACUCUUCCUUCAAGUAUUGGGCCAAGAUGGGAGAUCGUUGUUGAAGAUGUUGAAGAGCACUGGGCCCAGAACAGCCUUGGGGCACCCCACUA